AAAGAAAUUGGAAAUUUUCAUAUUUUGUGAUUGCAGUUCCAUAACUGGUAGUGUUUAAAAAGUGAGUCCUAGAAUGGACUGUAAGAAAAGUUAACAUUUUUUAAAAAGGUAAAGGCUUUUGAAAGUAACAUGUGGUUUACAUAGUUCUUUAAUUUUUUUUUCAUUUGUUUCAGAGCUCCCUCUGUGAAAGAAAUUUCUUUCUAUUUAAUAAAACUAAUGCUUGUAAUAGCUGUUAAAUUUUUUAUAAGCUUGGCAAUUCUAGCUUAAGAAGACUCAACUGCCAACAUAUCCUUGUCCACUCCAGUGCUUUCAAUUCAGCCACCCCAGAAUAAGCAGUGUAGGUGACUUGAGCAUCCUUACUGUGCUCCUUUAUAUAAGAACAAGCAAUUGUGAACACCUAUUUUUCUUAGCCAUGUUUGGUCUUAUUAUAAUGAGUAGUCACACUGCACAUUUUUUUUAUGUCUGGCCAAUGACAGCUUAAGUGUCACCUCUCUUUUCCUAGAGCACCCCGCACCUGGACAAGCAGAUGAGAAAGCCUGAUGGUGGGUUCCUUAUAGAGCAAGCAGGAGAUUCCAAACACACAGGGCCCUGCCCCAUUGCUCUGACCUCACCUGAUAACCACAAUGAACACCCAGGUUGAACUUUUCCCCUUGCUGCCUCCAGUCAUUUCACACCUGCUGGAGAGGCCUGCUCUGCUCUCCCUGAGCCCUCAAUCAUGCCGGUGACACAGAAGUUCUUUCCCAUAAGGAGCUCCUGCCAGUUACUCGGGUUGUUAGGAUGGACACACACUGGCCAUGUUCUGAAGUGGCUUACAUGCUGGGGCCUCUGCUCUGCCAAAGGGACAGACUUCUCUGUCAUCACUCCCCAGACGCUGGAAAAAAGCCACAGCCACGCCAGGAGUGGAGCCAGGGUGUGCAGGACACGGCAGCAGCAGCCACAU